AACCUCGAGCAAAAUGUGUGUAUAAAACAGAAGAAACAACUGUAGGCGACAAUCAAACAGUCUAGUAGUGGACGAAGUGUACAACAUACGAAAUCAUGAAUCAUCAAAUAGUGUACUUUUUGUUCCUAUGCAUGUCCUUUGCUUUAUUAUCAGGAUAUGAGCUGCCGCCAGCAUGCCGUAGUUUAUCUCGUUCUCAACUAUGUUCCAGCAUGAAAUAUAAAGCGAUGUGUAAGCUGACGAAUUGUUAAUAUUUUUAAUCAAGAGGAUUAUUUUACUGACGCCGAGUUUGGUAAAUUUAUUUCCGAUGUAUUAUUCAGCCGCCAUGUAACACAAUGGAAAUGUAAUUCUAUUCAUACAAUUAAUAAAUAAAUAUUGUGCGCUGAGAAUAUGACAACGAGUUAUUUGAUUCACGAUGUAUCAAUAUGUCAAUUAUAAAUAUUGCUAGUGAAGUAGUACAUACAUUGAUAUUACAUUGAAAUUACUUUUAAAUAAUCAACAAAAUUUUAGUACAUGCAUAGAAAGAAACAAAAAAUAUGACAAAAUUGUUAUCUUACGUUAUUCCUUGUAUAAAUACUUCCCCUAAUCUUCAUUGCAUUUUUAAGAAUUCAUAUACUGUUUAUUCGCGCAAUUUCGGCCAGGCUUUUCGUAUAAAAGAGGAAGAACAGCUGUUGGAAUUGUUUACUGGUGAAGAAUUUAAGAGUGUAGAAUAUAAAACCAUGAAUGCGAAAUCAUUCUUCCUUUUUCUAAUUGUUUCCCUUAUUUUAAUGUCGGGAUAUUUUAUUGCACCGGCGGUUGGGCUAGGAAAAGAAUGCCGUACGUUAACUCGACGUAUCCUUUGCCGCAGCACGCAGUUUAGGAGACGAUGCGGGUUGGGAUAUAAGGAAUGCAAUAUAUACUGGGGGAAAUGAGGCCAACGACAUGAUCAGUCAAUGUAUUUCAAAUGUAUGGCCUAUACAUUACACGAUACUGUAACUGAAUUUUAAAAAUAAAUAUUGUUUCUUGGAA